GACGAACCGUGCGAACGUUGUUCGGAAUCACUGGGCUUAAAGGGCGCGUAGGCGGGUCACCAAGUCCGGGGUGAAAUCCUUCGGCUCAACCGGAGAAUAGCCUUGGAUACUGGUGGUCUCGAGCGAGGUAGGGGCAGCUGGAACUUCCGGUGGAGCGGUGAAAUGCGUUGAUAUCGGAAGGAACGCCGGUGGCGAAAGCGAGCUGCUGGACCUCUUCUGACGCUGAGGCGCGAAAGCCAGGGAGCAACAGG
rnacentral:rRNA from 1 species